UACGUAGGGGGCAAGCGUUGUCCGGAUUUAUUGGGCGUAAAGAGCGUGUAGGCGGCCAGACAGGUCCGUUGUGAAACUCGAGGCUCAACCUCGAGACGCCGAUGGAAACCGUCUGGCUAGAGUCCGGAAGAGGAGAGUGGAAUUCCUGGUGGUAGCGGUGAAAUGCGCAGAUAUCAGGAAGAACACCCGUGGCUAAGGCGGCUCUCUAGUACGGUACUGACGCUGAGACGCGAAAGCGUGGGGAGCGAACAGG
rnacentral:rRNA from 1 species